CUCUGUUUCGAAAUGAUUCAGGGCGGAAGGAG
rfam:Anoxybacillus sp. B7M1, complete genome.